rnacentral:ncRNA from 21 species
CAAGCAUUAAAUUUUUUACUUGAAUUAUUGACAUAAAAUAACUGCUUAUAAAUUAAGGAAGAAUUUUUCGAAGGGUGAAUAUUGCGUAAGUAAAUUUUGUGUAACCACAUGAAUUUU